rnacentral:lncRNA from 10 species
AAAGUACUGAGCCAUGACAAGACACCGUGGACACGUAACAUAUUUAGAUACCAAGAACAAUGUGACAAUACCAUUAUCUGAACUAGAAAUAUAGUGAUGUGUUUGAUGAGUCAGAGUAACCUACUGGGAAAUCCUAAAACAACCUAGUUGAAAGAGCCGUGGUCUUCUAAUAACCUAAAAGAGGCCCCUGAAGAGAGAAAAUUAUAUUUUGAAGUUGGAAGAAGUGGCAAAAUGUGAAAAGCAAGAAGCAAGUAUUACCAGAGACACCUAUGAAAAAGAAAUCUUUCUGAAGAACAUUUUUAAAGUGCCAUAAUCUGUUCGGUGAAAAUGUUAUUUUACAUGGAAACCUAUUUUGUUCCAUAAAACUAAAUAAACCAUAACCCAGAAGUGCAAUGAGACACACACAGCAUGACCACAUUAUUUCUGAAAGCUGAAGAGUUGCCAGUCUGUUGAUCUCAAACUUCAUGAACCACACAGUUCAGUUCAAAUUGUUUCCCUGAAAUUGCUUUGAGCCUCUGCCAAACAGCCACUGAAGGACUCCGAAAAAUACAAGAACUGAAAGGGGCACAUGGCAGAUACAAUCAUAAACUUUCAUUUCGGAGAGCAGUAAAAAAGGAGAAGAAGAACACACUGGUACUCCAACAAGUCAUAGUUUCUGCCAGAUGUUGCAAAAGUGAGUUAGAUAACUGACCUUUCUUCUGGGGCCUGUGUCAACUUUGAAUGGAGCUUUCAAUUGUACAAUAAGCAUCUGGACAGUUUUGACAUCUUUAUAACACUCUUUGAGUUCUUAAAAAGCUACCAUUUUGUUUAAAGAUGAUUUAUGUGAAGAUUAAAACAAUUACUUAAGUGCUAAGAAUAAUUAAUCCUGUAACUCCAUAUCAAUACCAUUAUCUUCCCAGAACUGGGUCUCUAACUACUAAUCAUAAUCAAGACACCAACUGUCAAAUCAAAUCAAAAUUAAAAUUUGAUUAAUUAUUUGAUGAUAUUAACAUUCAAAUCUAGUUCCUUCUUAGGCCUAAUUUUGUCCUUAUGUUUGCUUUGCACUGAAUUAUUGUGGUUUAAAUAGCCCAUUUUACAUGACAACUUUCAAACAAGAGCAUAAAUUCUCAUAAAAACAGGCUAAGGAAUUCAUAAUGAUAGCUCUUGGCCGCCACCUAAAGGUUUAUUUCUUGUUUUAUUUUACAUGAGACCUACUAUGCAUUCCUUUUAUAAUAAAAUUGUUGUCUUGUCAUCACAUGUUUCUGCAUAAGUACAGGGUAAAAAGACUUUUUCAAGUUUGUUUUUUCACCUUUAUGUAGUUAAAUUAACAGCAUAUAUAAUUAUAUCUACUUUUCAAUUCAUUCAACACAACACACACAAAGAAAACCAGUUUAAACAAGGUUCUUUUAAAUGGUCAGAAAAUUUUUAUGCGUUUAAGAAAUAGUGUGUUCUUAUUAUGUAUCACCCCCCACACCUAAGGCCCGUAAUGAAAGAAAUUUAACUAAACUCACAUUUACUGAACCACUGUUGAGUGUAAUGUAAUAGAAAACUCCUCAAAUUCCAUCAAGAACAUUAACAGAUAUAACUUCUUCAUUACGCUUGAGAGUAAAUGAGAUACUAUAAUUAAUGAUUCUUGCUCCGUAUCUUAUUAUCACUCCCUUUAUUCUCCUCCUAAAAAGCACUUGAUUGAAUCAAGCUAAAUAUCUUCAACGCCUUACUUGGACUCUGACAAAGUCAACCUUGGAGAAUGGAUUUAUGAUAUCAUAGGGAAAAUUAGUUAUGAACUCUACAAACUUCUCAUUUCAAAGCUCAUAUGGAUAGAGCAUCUAUGAAUCACUCAAAUUCUUGUUAAACAUAUAGACAAGUUGCAUUAGCACAUGCACUUUCCAAUAUAUAGUCCAUGUACUUAUCCUUGAUUUAUCUAUAGAACGCCAUUCAUGAUUUUAUUAAUUCAAAAAAUAUUUACUAGGCACCUACUAUGUGCCAGGCACCCAUCAUUAUCAGUGUUCAGUAAAGCAGACUGGUCUUUCCCUUCAUCGAUCUUGUGAAGGCAACAGAAAAUGAACAAAAAAAUAGGUAAAACAUAUAAAGAUACUGGCUACAAAGGAACUGAAUACCAUACCAUUAUAGGGAAUAAUUCUGGGGAGACACAGACCAACAAUAGGUAGGUAAGUCAAGAAAGGCCUCUCCUAGGAGACAGUUUUUAAACUGGGACCUGAAGAAUAAACAGCCGGCUCUGCCAAGAAUAGAGAGGAAGAGGUGGAGGAAAUUGUGUACGCAAAGGACAAAUACUAACAGAGGGCCAAGGGAACUAAAGCAGAGUGAGCCAAGGGGAGUGUCAUGGAUGGGAUUAGAGAAGUAAGCAGAAACCAAAUCAUGCAAGGCCUUGAAAGCUAUGGUAAGGAUUUGGGGUUUUAUUUGAAAGAGAAUGGAAAGCCAUGAUAGCAGGUUAAAAAAGGAAGUAAAUUGAUCUGUUGGCUGCAUGAAGAAGGAAUUAGAGGCAGCCAAGAGAAAAGGGAGAUAGAAGUCUAUCACAGAAAUACAGAUGGGAGAGAUGAUGGUGAUGGUGACAUGGACAAGGUGGUAGCAGUGGAGGCAAAAACAAGUGAUCACAUUUGUGAUGCAUUUUGGAGUGAGGCCUUGGUGGAUCAGAUGACCCUGUGGUUCUGCUGUUCCUUCCCAGCUUGUUAGCAUCUGCUGACAUAACUUUGAAAAGCUGACAUAGUUUUCCAAAUAAGAUUUUAAAUCACACCCAAGCUUUUAAUUCAGUUUUUUUAAGUUUUAAAGAAAAUAUCUUAAUAGAAUGACCAAUUUGUACAUCGAGAAACACUUAUUAUAUAGUAUCUUCUGCAAAUGAAAUAGUCCACAAAACUAAUUUUAUAAAUAAUGGAAGUGUAUCUAUUAAAAGCAAAAGAGCUUAUUUUACUUUAACCACUUUGAAAUAAUUAUUUUCUAAAAUUGUUCAAUAUUUCCUUGAUCUUUCAAACAGAAUAUAUUCAAAAUAGUUAAGCUUCUCAAAAACUCAAACAUAUUGUGAAGAAACGUAUAUGAAACAUACCUCUGUAGUAUGUAGUAUGGCUAAAAAUAGUGAGAGGCAAAAAUGAGUUUCCCCUACUCUGAAAAACUGAAAACUACCUUGCUGUGAAAUCAUUACAUUUUUAUUUUGUUGCCUCAGUUUCCCAUAGUCCUUAUGGUGCCUGACUGUCGUUAUCAACUUCUGACUCAUUCUAACACACUGCUUUACCUUGGCUGUAAGCUGGGAACCCUGCUAUCAGAAAUUCAUGUAAGUUUAUAGAAAAAGACUCUAAGUAAAGGGUAUGAAUUUUUGCAUUCUAUUUGGAUUGCACAGAGGCCUUUUUACACUCUGCUUUCUCAAGUAUAGUUUAGGCCAUUGAAGCUGCUUAAUCAGCAACAUGUAAGUCAAGGAAAUCUCCCUACAUUAGCAUGUUAUUUCCUACAGUUUCAUAAUGCCCCUUGAAAACUGAAUCCACAUUAAUAUAUACAUUAUCAUUUUUAAGUUUCUAUAAAGAAUCCUUCCUUGUGAUACAACUUCAACUACAUAAUUAUAAAUGUUGACUUUUCAUUUGAUGCCUAAAGUAUAGUUUUCAAAUGUAACAUAAAAGCAUUUUAUGGUAAAAUUUGACCCAAAAAGUAGAAUUUAUGUGUCUCAUAAAAGCAUAUAAAAUUUGACCCAAGAAAUAAUUUCAAAUUUCUUGACUCAGACUAUAAUAUUAUCUCUUUUCUUUUUUCAUUUUGACAUGGCAUGGAAACAAAAACAGAUCAAAUGUCCACAGAAACCCAAUCAGCAACACUACUUUCAAAGUGUCUUUUGACAAGUAAUAUGUGCAUUUUACAAAUCCAAAGGCAAUAUUUGAAGUAGCUCUUCAAAACAGCUGCAUUACUCAAAGCUAUCUCUGUAUCAUCGCCUUGUUUCCUGGAAGAAAAUGUGGAAAUGUGUACUGAAAAUGUGUAAAUGAUUAAAGCAUCAGUAUAAAGAAAAAACAUUCUGAAGAUGAAUAAAAAUUAUUUUGAGGGCUUGUUGAAAAACCAAACACCAGAUGUCCACGGCUGACUUGCCAAAUGAAAAUCCUUGAAAGAAAGGUCCAGAAAUUGGCAUUUCAAAUGAAUAUACCCCAGCUGAUUGACACAGGUGUUCCUUUGAGCAAUCCUGGAUAGCACUGUUGUAGACCCUAGGUAAGCAAUUGUGUGAUCUGCUUUUUCAACUUUGUGGUAGAUUGUAUUUUCCAAAGAUGACAGCACCAGUACAUACCAUCCUAUAUGCUCUUCCUAUAAGGUGACAUUGACAUGUCUCCACCAAAUGAUGGGAUUUACGUUACCUCUUCUUGGACCCGGGUGAACUUUUGACUACAGUAGAAGUGACACUAUGUGACUUCUAAGGCCAAUUCAUAAAAUGCAAUACAGCUUCCUCCUGGCUCCCUUGGGAUGCUGGCCCUAG